rnacentral:rRNA from 1 species
UGGGGAAUUUUGGACAAUGGGCGAAAGCUUGAUCCAGCAAUGCCGCGUGUGUGAAGAAGGCCUUCGGGUUGUAAAGCACUUUUGUCCGGAAAGAAAUCCUUGGCUCUAAUACAGUCGGGGGAUGACGGUACCGGAAGAAUAAGCACCGGCUAACUACGUGCCAGCAGCCGCGGUAAUACGUAGGGUGCAAGCGUUAAUCGGAAUUACUGGGCGUAAAGCGUGCGCAGGCGGUUUGCUAAGACCGAUGUGAAAUCCCCGGGCUCAACCUGGGAACUGCAUUGGUGACUGGCAGGCUAGAGUAUGGCAGAGGGGGGUAGAAUUCCACGUGUAGCAGUGAAAUGCGUAGAGAUGUGGAGGAAUACCGAUGGCGAAGGCAGCCCCCUGGGCCAAUACUGACGCUCAUGCACGAAAGCGUGGGGAGCAAACAGGAUUAGAUACCCUGGUAGUCCACGCCCUAAACGAUGUCAACUAGUUGUUGGGGACUUCAUUUCCUUAGUAACGUAGCUAACGCGUGAAGUUGA